AAACAGCAGCCUCAGACCGAAGUUUGUAUUAAUCUGAGUAUAAGGUCCUGACUCAAUCACAGACACAGAGGAACUAAACUCCGCAGGGAGGCGAACCUGAGCACCGUUUGCCUGGAGUAAAGAAAAAAAUAUUGGUCAAGAGACCUUAGAAGUGUGAGCUGUUCGAGAAACUUGGGAGAGACGUGUUUGCGGUUUGUUGCUCAGCGAGGGAUUUGUUGCGGAAGCCCUGCAGGCCGUAUCAGAUCCGGUCCUAAAGGUCAGCAGGUGGAGAGAAUCAAUCUACACCUUGCCCUUUUUAACUGAGGAACAGGUCACGGCGUGCGUGGAGGAGAGGCUGUGCGCUGCAUCAUCUUCCUGCUGCACACACACACACACACACACACACACGGACAGAUUAUCAGGUCAAGGUCAUUGCUUUUGUUCCGAUCUGUUGCUCUCGCUGACCUUUCAUGUUUUCGUCUGCAGUCUCUGCAGUAUCUGUCUGUAAUCAGGAUUCCUCUCUCACACCGAGUCUUAUUUCAUCUUCAGACCUUUUAAAAGCUUUUAAAAGUCAGGAUAGAAAUUCACUGUUUGCACAGCAUUUGGGAUUUUACUGAGAAAGAGGGUCACCUUUGAGGGCGCAGAACUCUUUUUGGGAAGCACAUCUAUCUAAAGUCUCUCCCUGUACAUUUUAAAAGCAU